rnacentral:rRNA from 1 species
GAUGAACGCUGGCGGCGUGCCUAAUACAUGCAAGUCGAGCGAACAGACGAGGAGCUUGCUCCUCUGACGUUAGCGGCGGACGGGUGAGUAACACGUGGAUAACCUACCUAUAAGACUGGGAUAACUUCGGGAAACCGGAGCUAAUACCGGAUAAUAUAUUGAACCGCAUGGUUCAAUAGUGAAAGACGGUUUUGCUGUCACUUAUAGAUGGAUCCGCGCCGCAUUAGCUAGUUGGUAAGGUAACGGCUUACCAAGGCAACGAUGCGUAGCCGACCUGAGAGGGUGAUCGGCCACACUGGAACGGAGACACGGUCCAGACUCCUACGGGAGGCAGCAGUAGGGAAUCUUCCGCAAUGGGCGAAAGCCUGACGGAGCAACGCCGCGUGAGUGAUGAAGGUCUUCGGAUCGUAAAACUCUGUUAUUAGGGAAGAACAAAUGUGUAAGUAACUAUGCACGUCUUGACGGUACCUAAUCAGAAAGCCACGGCUAACUACGUG